rnacentral:lncRNA from 1 species
CCGGAGGAGGCAUCACGUUCGGCGUCUUCUAGAGGCGGCGCGGCGGUGUUCUAAGGCUAGUAGUGGUACACAGGAGCGCGGCGGGCGGGCGGGGCUAUCGGUGGCCGGAGAGGCGGUUGAGCCAGGCGUUGCGGAGCUGGAGCUCGAGGGGCUCCCCGCCGAAGCACUGCGCGCGGGCGAGGCAGAAGUGGGUGCAGAGCCCCGCCGGGGAGCGCACGCGGCAGGUGUCGAGCACGUAGCACGCCGCGCACUCCAUGCCGCGGGCCUGCACCACCAGGCCCCACACCUGCCGCGCCGCCUCCGCGCCGUCCUCCACCGCCGCCGCGGCCACCUGCUCCACCAGGAUGAUCCCGUCGGGCCGCCGCUGCCCGCCGCUGCCCCACCGCCGCCUCACGUCCGGCCAGGCCUCCGCCGACGCCGGCUCACGCCGCAUCGUCACGCGGUCGUCGUCGCUGAACAGGUGCACCAGGAACGGCGC